UACGUAGGAGGCAAGCGUUGUCCGGAAUACUGGGCGUAAAGCGCGUGUAGGUGGUGGGACAAGUCUGCUGUGAAAGCGCCUGGCUUAACCGGGCGAGGUCGGCGGAAACUGUCCGACUAGAGGACGGUAGAGGGGGGUGGAAUUCCCGGUGUAGUGGUGAAAUGCGUAGAGAUCGGGAGGAACACCUGUGGCGAAGGCGGCCGACUGGGCCGACCCUGACGCUGAGGCGCCGAAGGCGUGGGGAGCGAACGGGAGUAGAUGAUC
rnacentral:rRNA from 1 species